rnacentral:rRNA from 1 species
UACGUAGGGGCCUAGCGUUGUCCGGAUUUAUUGGGCGUAAAGAGCUCGUAGGCAGUUCGGUAAGUCAGGUGUGAAAUCUCCACGCUCAACGUGGAGGCGCCACCUGAAACUGCCGUGACUCGAGUCCGGUAGGGGAGUGUGGAAUUCCUGGUGUAGCGGUGAAAUGCGCAGAUAUCAGGAGGAACACCAGUUGCGAAGGCAGCUCGCUGGGACGUUACUGACGCUGAGGUGCGAAAGCGUGGGGAGCAAACAGG